UACAGAGGUGCCAAGCGUUAGGCGGAAUCAUUGGGCGUAAAGCGCGCGUAGGUGGCCUCAUAAGUCCGCUGUGAAAGUCAAAGGCUCAACCUUUGAAAGCCGGUGGAUACUGUGAGGCUAGAGUACGGAAGAGGCGAGUGGAAUUCCUGGUGUAGCGGUGGAAUGCGCAGAUAUCAGGAGGAACACCAAUAGCGAAGGCAGCUCGCUGGGACGUUACUGACACUGAGGCGCGAAAGCGUGGGGAGCGAACAGG
rnacentral:rRNA from 1 species